GUGAGUAUGGCCCUCACGGGUCUAAUCCACCAUAAACACCUUUGUGAACCAGUCAGGGGGACUCGGCCGUGAAAGCCCAGGCGAUUAGCGGAAGGGCCCUCCUUUGCAAACCCGUUUAGAAGUCUUGAAAGUACUUUUGUAUAAUCUAGUA
rnacentral:misc_RNA from 1 species